UGCGUAGGCGGAAUAUUAAGUCAGUGGUGAAAUCCUGCGGCUCAACCGUAGGACUGCCAUUGAUACUGAUAUUCUUGAAUGUAGUUGAGGUAGGCGGAAUGUGUAAUGUAGCGGUGAAAUGCUUAGAUAUUACACAGAACACCGAUUGCGAAGGCAGCUUACUAAACUAUGAUUGACGCUGAGGCACGAAAGCGUGGGGAGCGAACAGGAUUAGAUACCCUGGUAGUCC
rnacentral:rRNA from 1 species